CCUGCCGCUCUGUCUGUUCUCCGGUCUCUUGCCUUCUUCUUUGAUCUACGAAAUGGGGAAAAUAAGGGCCACUUUGAUAUACUUUUAAGGGCGCGGGGAUUUGCUGUGCUCUCCCCCAAGCAAAGGGCUUGUAGAGUGCUUUCAGAACAAGAAGGAACAUGCUGUCACAUGUAAUCUAAUGAGCUCAGCCUCCUCUUCCAGUGCCUAUUAAUCAAUCAACCAACACUUGUAAAGCAUAUAUAUGAAUUCCGUGUGCAGCAGGGAAGGGGAGGCAUGGUCUUUGCACCUAAGGUAUUUAUGGUCUGACUGGGCAGAUGAUGGAAUGAAUAUGUGAGUGUGAACCAUGAUAAUAGCUAACAUUUACCGAGUGCUUCCUGUGUGCCAGGUUCCCGAAUAGGCACUGAAUUAUCAUCUCCAUUUUACAGACAUUUUAGAGAUCACUUGACCAGGUCACACAGUGUACAGCAGUUAGAUGUGGCUGCAGGUUCCAGGGAAGCUGACAUCCAGUCAAGACGGGCAGCCUCUUGCCUUGGGCCUGGUCCUCUUCAUUCUCUUUCUUCUGUUCUUGCUUUCUCUGCCUAGCAGGGGCAUUACCUGGGGUCAUACUUGAGAACUUUCUUUAACCAUCACUGUCCUCUGGGACCCUAAUAAGGUCUAUUUCUUUCCCUUCCUCUGUCUUUCUGUACUCAACAAUCACAUCCCAGUUAAUUCUCUGUAUGCAACCUUAAUCUUGUGGGUACACUUUGUCCUGUCCUCUGUGGUUUUAUUUUGGAAGGAGAGAGAAGAGACUUCACUCAAAAACAGGCAGCUGCUUUCCUGAAAUGCAGAUAUGUAGCAUCAGGGUGUCACCGGUGCCCACAGGCAGGUCUGCAGUACCGCAUCUUCAGCCCAGCUUGCCAUAUGUGGUCACUGAACUCCCUCAUGAUAACUAAAGAGCCCAACAGAAUGUAGUUUUCCCAGGUAAGACAACAUUUUGAUAUUUUUUAAUAGUAUGGAACACCAGCCAAUAGGAUUUUGAAUAUCAUGGGGAGACAUCCUUUGACCUGGUAUAUAAUCUCACUUCUCUGGAUGCUGGGCUAAUUACAGCAGCUCCCUUGGGCAUGGAUCUGAAUGGGAAGUGUUCUGGCAUUCGGAAAAUUCCACACUGAAUGGCAUUAACCCUGGGACACUGGUCUUUAUGUUGUAUUCCUAGUAACCUAGUUCAUGGGGAUUGACAUGCCCUGGAAAUCCUUGUUUAUUAAAAGCCCUUCUUCUGUUAACUAGAAAUACGGAUAUCUGAAGUCUUGCUACUUAGUCUUGCUCUUAUUGAGUACCUGUAUUUGCAUGACUUAGUGCUAAGAAAAAUAGAACAGAGUAGACAGUGGGAAGUCUGGGUUCUAGCUUUGAGCCUACUAUACCCUAACCAGUCCUAACCAGCCUUGGGUCAGUCACAUUGAGUCCCAACCCUGUGAAUUUCAUUUUCCUCAUCUUUAAG
rnacentral:lncRNA from 1 species